CGUCGUCAGUUAGUCAACGGCACGCAGGAUGGCCGCAUUCCCGGUGGGGAAUCGAUGCAGGAGUUGAGCGAUCGCGUUCAUGCCGCGCUGGCGUCCU
rnacentral:tRNA from 1 species